AAAGGGCCGGGCAAGACCGGUGCCAGCCGCCGCGGUAACACCGGCGGCUCGAGUGGUGGCCGUUUUUAUUGGGUUUAAAGGGUUCGUAGCCGGGUUGUUAAGUCUCUUGGGAAAUCUGGCAGCUUAACUGUCAGGCGUUCAAGAGAUACUGGCAAUCUAGGAACCGGGAGAGGUGAGGGGUACUUCGGGGGUAGGAGUGAAAUCCUGUAAUCCUCGAGGGACCACCUGUGGCGAAGGCGC
rnacentral:rRNA from 1 species